rnacentral:misc_RNA from 1 species
AAAUGUACUACCAAUUGAAAGUGUAUUUAAUAAUCAAUUAAUAAUGCACUAUUCAUUACAUUCAUUUUUUAAAAAGAAAUUUGGUACUUUAACCAUUUAGUAAAGCCAAAUUCUUCUCAUUCAAAAAUAUGGUUGGUUGAAGUAAAUUAUUGAUAGAAAAUGAGGUUUAAACCAUUGCGAUGUUUGAUUUUGGCUAUAUUUAUUUCUAUAUCAUUGUUUGUCAUCAUGUUAGUAAAUAUAAAUACAAAAACAUAUAAAAAUGGAAAAGAAGUUUUUAUUGAAGAUUUUUCUAAUAUUAAAAAAUUUCCUGUGCCAAGUUUAAAAAAUGAAAUAGCUAUACCAAAAAGAAAUCAGUCAUCAGUUCAAUCACCAGAUUCAUGUUUAGUAAAGAAUCAUCAAUAUUUUCCACUUUGCAACGAAAAGAUUCAGUAUUUAAGUCAAAAAGACUUACCAUCUUGCUUCUCUAUGGUUCAUGGCAUUGAUGGCACAAAGUGUUCUAUUUAUAACUAUCUGCAAAAUGUAGAACCAUUCUGUGCAAAUCAUGUAAAAAGAAGUUCUGAAGUCGAAUAUGCUUUGCCACGAUAUGAUUUAGAUGGUUUGCUAGAGUUACUUCCAGAAAAUCCCUAUCGGUGGAUGCGUGAACGAGCAAAGCAAACUUGGAAUGACUGGCUUCAAGCAAUCAAGCAAUUUAAUCUUACUAAACAAAAAUGGCAGAAAAAGAAAGUUCUAUGCUUCAUGGGAUCAAUGGGCUUUCAACCGAUGAUAUUAGAGAUGGCUGGUAAAGGGGGUCCUCUUGGGGAAUUAGUUCAAUGGACUGAUUUAAUAUCUGGACUCUACGUUUUAGGUUAUGACAUUCGACUUCACCUCAACAAUUCAGAGUUUACUAAAUUUAUGGACGCUGAUGACGCUAAUGGUUGUGCCCAAAAGAAGUUUGAAAAAAAUCUAGUUGAUAUUUUUUACACUGAUUCUAAUGGCUUUGUUAUAACAAUGCAAAAAUUAGGUUUUGCUUCUUCUGCAAAAUAUAGGUGCAUGAUGCGGAUCUUAGAUUCUUUUGGCACUUACCCAGAAUUCAACUAUCCUUCUUACCCUCAUAAAAUACCAGGUGGUCGUUCUGGUUGGGCAAAUCAGAAUCUUAUACCAACUCAGUUUUUAACUUUAUUUCCUCACACUCAUGACAAUAGUUUCCUUGGUUUUGUGGUGGGAAAUAUUAACUCAACUGAGAAUCUUCCAAAAAAAACAAAAAAAAACAUUGCCUUGAUAUAUGCUAAACUUUCAUCAUAUUUAGCUGGGAGAAUAGCAUAUCUAGAUGUGAUAAAUGAGUAUUUUGAGAUACAUGCAACCCUUGUUGAAGUUAAUCAUCCAAUUCCAAAGUAUGUCAUAAAUCAUGGACCAGUUAGUGGUAAAAAAGUGAAAGAAUUACUUUUGCAAUCUAAGCUAUUUAUUGGUGUUGGAUUUCCGUAUGAAGGUCCAGGUCCUUUAGAAGCAUUAGCUGCUGGUGCAACUUAUAUUCAGCCAAAGUUUGAUCAACCGAAGCACAAGUUUAAUGAAAAGUUUUUUGAAGAUAAACCUACAUUAAGAAAGCUCAGUUCACAAUCUCCUUAUAUGGAAGAAAUGGUUGGUGAACCAUACAGCUACACAGUUGAUGUAAAAAAUGAGACUUUAUUUCGACAGAUCCUGGAGAUGAUUAAAAAUAGGGAGGAUCUUCCUCCCAAGAUUCCUAAAGAGUUUACAAGUUAUGGAAUGCUAGAGCGAAUACACAUUUUUACAGAACAUAUGGUACAUCAAAGAUUUUUGUGAUGCAACAGCUCCAAGAUGGCCUCCAAUCCAGCAUAUUAAAGUUUAUAUGGCAGAACGCGGCCAAUCUUGUAAAGAUGCAUGUUUUAAAAAAGGUUUAGUUUGUGAAAGAACAUUUUUUGUUGACAUUGAUACAAAGCAAUCUAUAGAAAG